rnacentral:rRNA from 1 species
GAAUAUUGCACAAUGGGGGCAACCCUGAUGCAGCCAUGCCGCGUGUGUGAAGAAGGCCUUCGGGUUGUAAAGCACUUUCAGCGAGGAGGAAAGGAUAAGGCUUAAUACGUCUUAUCUGUGACGUUACUCGCAGAAGAAGCACCGGCUAACUCCGUGCCAGCAGCCGCGGUAAUACGGAGGGUGCGAGCGUUAAUCGGAAUUACUGGGCGUAAAGCGCACGUAGGCGGUUGCUUAAGCGAGAUGUGAAAGCCCGGGGCUCAACCCCGGAAUUGCAUUUCGAACUGGGCGACUAGAGUACGAGAGAGGGUGGUAGAAUUUCCAGUGUAGCGGUGAAAUGCGUAGAGAUUGGAAGGAAUACCGGUGGCGAAGGCGGCCACCUGGCUCGAUACUGACGCUGAGGUGCGAAAGCGUGGGGAGCAAAC